UUGAGACCUAAUACUAAGCCGGACAAUACAAAUAAUAAUUUAAAAUCCAAAGAAAUUGGCGGUAUCUUAUAUAAUCAGGGGAACCUGUCUCUUAAUUCGAUAAUCCACGAAAUCUCAACCAAUUAACGAACUUCAGCCUGUGUACUGCUGUCAUCAGUAAACCUUUAAAAGUAAGUUUACGUAAAAUAAACCCUCUAUUCAUGUCAAGUCAAAGUGCAGCUAAUAAAUUGGAGAAAGAUGUGUUACAAUCUUUACACAGACACGAAUAAAUUUAAUAAAAAAAUUUUGAAGGUGGACUUGAAAGUAAUAGCAACAAAUUAAUACUAUAAAUAUAAACCUA
rnacentral:rRNA from 1 species